rnacentral:rRNA from 1 species
UACGGAGGGUGCAAGCGUUAUCCGGAUUCACUGGGUUUAAAGGGUGCGUAGGCGGGCAUUUAAGUCAGUGGUGAAAUACCUGAGCUUAACUUGGGAACUGCCAUUGAUACUAUUUGUCUUGAAUGUCGUGGAGGUUAGCGGAAUAUGUCAUGUAGCGGUGAAAUGCUUAGAUAUGACAUAGAACACCAAUUGCGAAGGCAGCUCGCUACACAUAUAUUGACUCUGAGGCACGAAAGCGUGGGGAUCAAACAGG